rnacentral:rRNA from 1 species
UACAGAGGUCCCGAGCGUUGUUCGGAUUCAUUGGGCGUAAAGGGUGUGUAGGUGGCGCGCUAAGUCGGGUGUGAAAUUUCGGAGCUUAACUCCGAAACUGCAUUCGAUACUGGCGUGCUUGAGGACUGGAGAGGAGACUGGAAUUUACGGUGUAGCAGUGAAAUGCGUAGAUAUCGUAAGGAAGACCAGUGGCGAAGGCGGGUCUCUGGACAGUUCCUGACACUGAGACACGAAGGCCAGGGGAGCAAACGGG